rnacentral:misc_RNA from 1 species
GUGGAAGGGGGCUUGCCCCCGAUAGCGGUGGUUCAGUUAAAGCAUCUGUGACUGAUACACCGCUAUCGGGGGCAAGCCCCCUCCCAC